GACGAACGCUGGCGGCGUGCUUAACACAUGCAAGUCGAACGGAAAGGCCCUUCGGGGUACUCGAGUGGCGAACGGGUGAGUAACACGUGGGUGAUCUGCCCUGCACUCUGGGAUAAGCCUGGGAAACUGGGUCUAAUACCGGAUAGGACCACACACUUCAUGGUGAGUGGUGCAAAGCUUUUGCGGUGUGGGAUGAGCCCGCGGCCUAUCAGCUUGUUGGUGGGGUAAUGGCCCACCAAGGCGACGACGGGUAGCCGGCCUGAGAGGGUGACCGGCCACACUGGGACUGAGAUACGGCCCAGACUCCUACGGGAGGCAGCAGUGGGGAAUAUUGCACAAUGGGCGCAAGCCUGAUGCAGCGACGCCGCGUGAGGGAUGACGGCCUUCGGGUUGUAAACCUCUUUCAGUAGGGACGAAGCGAAAGUGACGGUACCUACAGAAGAAGGACCGGCCAACUACGUGCCAGCAGCCGCGGUAAUACGUAGGGUCCGAGCGUUGUCCGGAAUUACUGGGCGUAAAGAGCUCGUAGGUGGUUUGUCGCGUUGUUCGUGAAAACUCACAGCUUAACUGUGGGCGUGCGGGCGAUACGGGCAGACUAGAGUACUGCAGGGGAGACUGGAAUUCCUGGUGUAGCGGUGGAAUGCGCAGAUAUCAGGAGGAACACCGGUGGCGAAGGCGGGUCUCUGGGCAGUAACUGACGCUGAGGAGCGAAAGCGUGGGUAGCGAACAGGAUUAGAUACCCUGGUAGUCCACGCCGUAAACGGUGGGUACUAGGUGUGGGUUUCCUUCCUUGGGAUCCGUGCCGUAGCUAACGCAUUAAGUACCCCGCCUGGGGAGUACGGUCGCAAGACUAAAACUCAAAGGAAUUGACGGGGGCCCGCACAAGCGGCGGAGCAUGUGGAUUAAUUCGAUGCAACGCGAAGAACCUUACCUGGGUUUGACAUGCACAGGACGUACCUAGAGAUAGGUAUUCCCUUGUGGCCUGUGUGCAGGUGGUGCAUGGCUGUCGUCAGCUCGUGUCGUGAGAUGUUGGGUUAAGUCCCGCAACGAGCGCAACCCUUGUCCUAUGUUGCCAGCGGGUAAUGCCGGGGACUCGUAGGAGACUGCCGGGGUCAACUCGGAGGAAGGUGGGGAUGACGUCAAGUCAUCAUGCCCCUUAUGUCCAGGGCUUCACACAUGCUACAAUGGCCAGUACAGAGGGCUGCGAAGCCGUAAGGUGGAGCGAAUCCCUUAAAGCUGGUCUCAGUUCGGAUUGGGGUCUGCAACUCGACCCCAUGAAGUCGGAGUCGCUAGUAAUCGCAGAUCAGCAACGCUGCGGUGAAUACGUUCCCGGGCCUUGUACACACCGCCCGUCACGUCAUGAAAGUCGGUAACACCCGAAGCCAGUGGCCUAACCUUUUGGAGGGAGCUGUCGAAGGUGGGAUCGGCGAUUGGGACGAAGUCGUAACAAGGUAG
rnacentral:rRNA from 2 species